GAUUAACGCUAGCGGCAGGCAUAAUACAUGCAAGUUGAACGGCAGCACAGGUAGCACUACUGGGUGGCGAGUGGCGCACGGGUGCGUAACACGUAUGCAACCUACCCUAUACAGGCGAAUAACCUUUAGAAAUGAGGGCUAAUACGCCGUAGUAUUACAGAUGGGCAUCUAUUUGUAAUUAAAGAUUUAUCGGUAUAGGAUGGGCAUGCGUCCCAUUAGUUAGUUGGUAAGGUAACGGCUUACCAAGACGAUGAUGGUUAGGGGAUCUGAGAGGACUUACCCCCACACUGGUACUGAGCCACGGACCAGACUCCUACGGCAGGCAGCCGUAAGGAAUAGUGGGCACUGGCCGCGAGGCUGACCCAGCCAUGCCGCGUGCAGGAAGGCGGCCUUAUGGGUUGUAAACUGCUUUUAUACGGGAAUAAUAGAGUGUACGCGUACAUUUAUGCAAGUAACGUAUGAAUAAGCAUCGGCUAACUCCGUG
rnacentral:rRNA from 1 species